rnacentral:lncRNA from 1 species
GGGAGAGAGUGGCGGCCACGCACAGCUGUGAAACCCCACAACGUGCUGUUUUACGGGGUCCCUCUCAAUUAUAAUAAGUAACAAGGGAGCAACAGCUGCCAUGAGGCAGGUGCCAUUCAGCUCGCACCAUUAUCUCAGUAAGCCCCAGAGCAGCCAGCAGGACAGGACCUGCCAGGUCCACAGUUAAGGUUCAGGGAUGCUAAGAAAUUUCCCAAAGUCAGACGGUUAGGACCCACUAUUUUCCCUCCGCUUGACUUCCACCUGGCUCUACCGCGUUCCGGGAUGCUGGUGCCGUGCUAUGCACCCGCCAUUUCCCAGACGCCACCACCACCUGGCCUUCUGCCGGGCACUGACCGCAGGAGAGGACAGCAGAGAGCCGGGGCGGUGGGAGGAAGCCACCUGCCCAGCCCGCUGCUCCUGACGCGACCACUGGAGCUGGCGUCACCACGGCUCCUCAGUCGGGACAUCCUCACCUCCUGCCCUCACAGGCACCCACAGGAAGAACCCCCCACGCGCGCGCGCACACACACACACACACACACCCCUCUGUUCCAGAGACCCCCAGAGUCCGGCCUCGCUCUCUGCUUCUCAGCCGCGGCUGCUUCCCGUGUGAACUUCUGGGUUCGCUCUUUCUACUCCCGGGGUGUAGGGAGUCAGCUCCCCUCUCACCCCAUCUUCCUGGACAUGCCCACUGACACUUCAGGAGAGAGACCCAUAGAGAAAGGCUGUGCCCGUCUCCGGGACAUGGCCGGCACGGUGGAUCCCCUUCGUCGCGGCGUGGCUUGUGGUUCGUGGCUUCCCAGCACCUGCUGCUGCCAGCUCCGCUCAUGUUCUAGGGCUUGGCCAGCCCUUCGUCAUCCGAGGGCUGCAGAGGGACCGGCAGAGGCCUGGACAACUCAGAGGCCCUGGCCGGGCCCUGGAACUCACAUCCAUCCGACAGCCAGGCCGAGGGCAGGGCCACAUAGGUGUUCAGAGGAAUCCGUGACGUCCAACCUGUCCCUUCCCGUGGUCACCAAACAAGACCAUGUGGGGC